ACAUUAUGCUGAUUCGAUCACUCUAUCAAACCCUGACCCUGAUCAUCACCUUAUACUGAUUCGAUUCCUCGAUGACUGUUCUCUCAGAUUACAAAGAGGAAGAUCAGAAGCCAACGGAAAAUGCCAGAAAGAACAGGAAGAUCGGUAGAUGGAGGAGUCAGGAUUCUUGAUCCAGACAAAAAAAAAACAAGAAGAUCGAUAGACGGAAGAGUCAAACGACGAUGAUGUGGAAGCCGUUUACUGAACUUCUAACAAACCCGCUCAAAAUAAGACAAGGAAGAGUUAUGUUGCUUUUCUGUUCUUUUUUGUAUAUAGGUAAUAUUAGUUUCACAGCUAUUCUUCCAAAUUAUGCUUCUUUAUUUAUGCCAAAUGGUUUUCCUUGGUUAUAGCGCAGAUAGCUGUUGAAGAACUAUAUCAAUCCAGAUCAUUGAGGUUUCCAAGAGAAUGACCACACCACAACUACAAGUACUCUAAUGUAUUAGGAAAUAGAUGUUGAAGAUACUAUUACUACAUAGUCCAGCUACGAGUGUCUUAUGACAAGGUUACCUCUCAGUCAGUUCUCUGCUUUUGUCUUGAAGAACAUCAACAAUCAUGACGUACCUUGUUGUGCAACAAGUUCCCAUAUAUGGAUAGCAACAUGAAGGAAUGCAGCAACAAUGAUCAUAAGAAUAACUCAUACAAAUGAGUCUGCUCAUGAGUGCUUGCCAUAGAGAAGAAAUCACAGGAAUGAGGAACAAAACCUAUACUGACAAAGGAAGGGCCACUAUGAUAUUCAUGAAUCUAAUGCGUAUAAGAUCUAAAAACUAAGCUCUUGUGAAUUUAUUAUUAAUUCAGAGUACAACAGAAGAAAAUAUCCAGAAGACGGAGUUGUAGACGACGUAAUGAUGAUUCUAUCCUGUGAAGAGUAACUACGUAUUCAUAGAUAUAUCAUCUUAAAUCAAAUAAGUGUAAGGAUAUGAAUGGAAGAGGUUGACAAUAAGUUCUUUCAAAAUUAACUAUUUGUCCCUCUGUUAGAGGUGUUCCAAAAAUGUCUGCGAUCGAUUUUGAUGGUC